rnacentral:rRNA from 1 species
GAUGAACGCUGGCGGCGCGCCUAACACAUGCAAGUCGAACGAUUAAAGCACCUUCGGGUGUGUAUAAAGUGGCGAACGGCUGAGUAACACGUGGGCAACCUGCCCCUCUCAUUGGGAUAGCCACGGGAAACCGUGGAUAAUACCGAAUACUUCGGGACUUCCGCAUGGAAGACUCGAGAAAGCUCCGGCGGAGAGGGAUGGGCCCGCGGCCUGUUAGCUUGUUGGUGGGGUAAUGGCCUACCAAGGCAAUGAUGGGUAGCUGGGUUGAGAGGCCGACCAGCCAGAUUGGGACUGAGACACGGCCCAGACUCCUACGGGAGGCAGCAGUGGGGAAUCUUGCACAAUGGGCGGAAGCCUGAUGCAGCGACGCCGCGUGCGGGAUGAAGGCCUUCGGGUUGUAAACCGCUUUCAGCAGGGACGAGGCGAAAGUGACGGUACCUGCAGAAGAAGCCCCGGCUAACUACGUG